UUUAAAGGCUAUUAUCGUAUUGUGUCCUCAGCGGAAGGGUUCUGAAGGUCAUAAACAUUUGUUAACUAAAGCAAAAAUGGUUUAUUCCUAAAAAGUAGUCCCUAAAGUGUAAAAGAGGAUUAAAUCCUAUAAAGAGAGAUAUUGGCCCACGGCUAAUAACUCUCGAUUCGUAAUAUUACAGGAAUGUCUUCAAGGUAUGUGGUUAGCGCCUGGAACUGACAUUUGCGGAAGGAAAUUGUGAACACAUUUUUUAAAAAACGAAAAGCGCAUGAAGAAGUAAACAAAUGAAGAAUAAAAAGUGCCGCCUUAAAGGGACAGUGUGACCGCGUUAGCACAGUAGCCUCGGACUAGGCCUCGGAAGAUGAGAAGGCAGGUUCGAGUCCCGGGUGACGUCCACUCUCAGACUGGCUUCAGGACCCUUGGGCGAAAAGUGACCGAAUCCCAGCCCCAGCCUAGACUUUCAGGGCCACCGCCGCCCCAGGGACCAGUGCAAAAUGCAAACACUUGUUAGGAGAGCACAAUGAUAAAUAAAACGUCAUCCUUGCUGCUCAUGGACUGUGUGGAGAGCAUCAAACCACAGCGAGCCAAAAUGGCAAGUGCAGAAAAUCCCGGAAGGCUCAGGGUACAGCAGGACAGGGGCUCAUAGCCUCCUCAACUGGCUGCAGAGACUCCGCCAUUGAGUCACCUCU